UACGGAAGGGGCAAGCGUUGUUCGGAAUCAUUGGGCGUAAAGGGCGCGUAGGCGGUCGCGUGUGUCUGCUGUGAAAGCGCACGGCUCAACCGUGUGAAGUCGGUAGAAACUGCGGGACUUGAGGCUGGGAGAGGUUGGUGGAAUUCCCUGUGUAGCGGUGAAAUGCGUAGAUAUAGGGGAGAACACGCGUGGCGAAGGCGGCCAGCUGGACCAGCCCUGACGCUGAGGCGCGACAGCGUGGGGAGCAAACAGG
rnacentral:rRNA from 1 species